rnacentral:rRNA from 1 species
UACAGAGGUCUCGAGCGUUAGGCGGAAUCACUGGGCUUAAAGCGUGUGUAGGUGGAUGCCUAAGUACCUUGUGAAAUCCCACGGCUUAACCGUGGAACUGCUUGGUAUACUGGGUGUCUUGAGUCACUCAGGGGCGAGCGGAACAAAUGGUGGAGCGGUGAAAUGCGUAGAUAUCAUUUGGAACGCCAAUGGUGAAAACAGCUCGCUGGGGGUGUACUGACACUGAGAACACG